rnacentral:lncRNA from 1 species
AAUAAACAAUGAGGAAAUCACUUAGGUAAGAUAUUCAAUUACCUUCAGGAUGGAGCAGUUCUAUUUCUUGAGAGCCAUGGGGAGAUGGAGGAGUUGUUGGCAGAGACCAUGGUUUAGGGCCUCAUAGAAAAAUCCCUGGCAGGCCUAGAAAACAAAGGUACUUUUGAGUCUUGCUGCAGAGACUGUUUUCACUUCUUCCAAUAAAGACUAAAAACUUAUAGUAACUUUAAAUAAGCUAGCUUUGCAGUUGCUAUAUAACAGAAGUAGCAACAACUAUUCAUAAACCAACAUAUCUGACAACAAGUUGAUGAAAAACAUUUAACUUUUUGACAUGCUAUCCAUGAAGUUUAAUGGUGGAUCCUACUUAUAAAAGAUGUUAUAGGGGACUGAAUUUGCUCUUGAUCCUUUUAGUAUAAGGGCUUCAAGACUGCUGCUUUUGUUAUACCUCCAUCAUCUACACAACUGUGAAGAAACAGACCAAAGUAGAAUUCCUCAAAGCCUGGAUUUUAAAAGAGAGAAUGGACAUUUCCUGAAUGAAGUAUAUAGCACAGCCAGGAAUUUAAUUAUGCAUUGCUGGAGGCCACAGGUGGAGCAGCCAAAGACUCCACCAUCUGGAAAAGGAUGA